GCUUAGGCAAGAGGAUCAGUUGAGUCCAGGAAUUCAAGACCAGCCUGGGAAAUAUAGCAAGACUCCCUUCUCCACAAAAAAAGAAAAAAAUAGGCAAAGGACUUGAAUAGAAAUUUCUCGACUGAGUGUGGUGGCUCACACCUGUAAUCCCAGCACUUUGGGAGGCUAAGGCAGGUGGAUCACCUGCGGUCAGGAGUUCGAAACCAGCCUGGCCAACAUGGUGAAACCCAUCUCUACUAAAAAUACAAAAAUUAGCCGGGCAUGGUGACACGUGCAUGUAAUCCCAGCUACUCGGGAGGCUGAGGCAGGAGAAUCGCUUGAACCCGGGAGGCAGAGGUUGCAGUGAGCUGAGAGCGCGCCACUGCACUUCAGCCUGGGCAACAAGAGCAAGACUCCAUCUAAAGGAAAAAGAAAAAGAAAAAAAAAAUUCCCAAAAAGAAAUGGCCAAUAAGCACAUGAAAAGAUAUUCAACAUUGUUAGUCAUUAGGAAAAUGCAAAUCAAAAACACAAUGAGAAACCACUUUACAUCCACAAGAGUGGGUAUAAUAAAAGAAGUGUUGGCCAGGUGCAGUGUAAUCCCCUCAUGCCUGUAAUCCCCAAACUUUGGGAGGCUGAGGCAGGUGGAUCACCUGAGGUCGAGACUUCGAGACCAGCCUGACCAACAUGGAGAAACCCCUCUCUCCUAAAAAUACAAAAUUAGCCGGGCAUGGUGGUACAUGUCUGUAAUCCCAGGUACUUGGGAGACUGAGGCAGGAGAAUCACUUGAACCUGGGAGGCAGAGGUUGCAGGGAGCCAAGAUCAUGCCACUACACUCCAGCCUGGGUAACAAGAGCGAAACUCUGUCUUAAAAAAAAAAAGUGUUGGCAAGGAUGUGGAAAAAAUGAAACAACUGUAUUCACUGCUGGUGGAAAUGUAAAAUGAUCACUGUGGAAAAUCGUUUGGUGGUUCCUCAAGAAAUUAAAUAGAAUUACUAUAUGAUCCAGCAAUUCCACUCCUAGGAAUAGACCCAAAAGAAUUGGAAGCAGGUACUCAAAUAUUUACACAUGAAUGUUCAUAGCAGCACUAGUCACAAUAAAGGUAGAAACAGCUGAUCACAAUGGUUCACUCCUGUAAUCCCAACACUUUGGGAGGUCGAAGUGGGAGGAUUGCUUGAGCACAGGAGUUCAAGACCAGCCUGGACAACAUAGUGAGACAUGGUCUCUGCAAAAAAAUAGAAAAAUCAGCAGGGUGUGGUGGCAUGCACGUAUACUCCCAGCUACUCAGGAAGUUGAGUGAGAGGAUUGCCUGAGCCCAGGAGUACAAGACUGCUGUGAGCUAUGAUCAUGCCACUAUACUCCAGCCUGCGCAACAGAGAGACCCUGUCUGGAGGGGUGGGGGGAGAAAAAAACACCAUAGAAACAACCCAAAUGUCCAAUAACAAAUUGUAGUCCAUCCAUACAAUGGACUACUACUCAGCCAUGAAAAGGAAUACAGCACUCACAUAUGCUGCAUGUGAAUGAACCCUGGAAGCAUUAUGCUCAGUGUAAGAACCCAGACAUAAAAGGUCACACAUUUUAUGAUUCCACCUAUAUGAAAUAUCCAGAAGAGGUAAACCUAUAAAAAUAAAAUGUAUAUUUAUAGCUGCCGGGGGCUUCAGGGUGAAGGCAUAGGAAGAAACUGUUUAAUGGGUACGGAGUUUUAUCUUGCAGCGGUGGAAAUGUUUUGGAACUAAAGUCGUGGUUCUACAACAUUGCAAAUGCACUCGAUGCCACUGAACUGUUCACUUUAAGAUGGUUCGUUAUGUAAAUUUCAUCUUAAUAAAUGCAUGAAGAAAGGGAUUUGUAUGUAUCAAC
rnacentral:lncRNA from 1 species